rnacentral:lncRNA from 1 species
CCGCGUGACUUGAAUUGACGUGACGACGGGAAUGGUGGACAAGGUGUAUUUUAGCACAAGUAACACCAUAUUUUGUUUAUGAUUAUAGGCCCAAGGUAUAUUCGUGAUCUACGUAUCAACAAAACUACUAAGGGAUAGUACUUGCUUCAGCGUUCUUAUUGUGGCCGACCAUUUUCACUUAAUAUUGUGGACGCACCACCUGUGUAGACUGCCAAAAAUACCAAAAGAACCACUUGAACCAAUGGCGGAUAUGGUUGAUAGGCUGCAUUCUAGAAAAACUCGAUAAUUUAUAGGGUAUUUCCGUGAUGUAUAUAUCAACAAAACUACUAAGAUAGCUUCUGAGAGGCUGUGUGACAUAUUUGGGGACUACUCGUCCAGGAAAUAAUACUAUACAAGCACACUGAUGAAAAAAACAAACCUAAGUCGGGCAGAAUAUUACGUGUCCCCGAAACUAAAUCAUCCAAAGUUAAGGCAAGCAGACCAGCAUUUAAUGAAGGUUAUCUACAGUCGAAGAAAAUGAUUACAGAUUACUUAAACUGCUCUAUUGAAGCAUUUCCAGUUGACAUGAUGGGUUUCAACAUCUACAUCUUGCAUGACCUGAAGCUGGAGAAAGUGGGCAUUAAUUUGCGCCAAUUUGAAAAAUGUUUUGACUAGAUGGAUAUAAUUAGCAGAUGCAGACUAGUUAUGACAUUUUGCUACGAGAACAGUUUACAGAUGGAUGUUGACGAGUUGGACACGUUGCCAGAACUUGCAGGCAUUACAGACAAAUGUGCCGGCUUAUUUUAUUCCAAGACAUGUCAACCGAAAUCUAGUUUCCAUGAAGAAGGUAGUAACGAAGAUCCCGAAGUGGAUGAAUAUAAACCAGACAUAGGUUGAAAGGAAAGUAGCAUCAUUGCUGCUGCUGCAUAGAUGAAGAGGGUUGUCAGACGACAAACAACUCUCUGCAAGAUGAUAAGUAACUUUUGAUACAUCAAAGAAAUAAUAAUACUCAACAGAUCAUGACCCAUGUGGCAAGUCGUGAAAAGUGUACUGAAGUUUUGUUAGAAUAUUUACUGAAUAUUGCGAUAAUCCUGGUAAAGGAAGACAGACAAACAACUCUCUGCAAGAUGAUAAGUAACUUUUGAUACAUCAAAGAAAUAAUAAUACUAAUCUAUUUUUGGUGGAUGCAACAACACAGUUGCAAGACAGGAAAAGUACUGCUGCAGAAGAAAAGGAAAAGAAACCUAUUAUAAUUAAUUUUGUCUAAUAUAGGCAAUU